AACGCACCUUGCGCUCCUUGGUAUUCCGAGGAGCAUGCCUGUUUGAGUGUCAUUAAAUUCUCAACUUCACCUGGUUUUACUAUCAGAUGAAGCUUGGACUUUGGAGUGUGCCGGCUUGCAAAAGUCGGCUCCUCUUUAAAUGCAUUAGCGGACCCUUUGUGGAUAGGCUUCGAUUUGAUAAUUAUCUAUGUCGUCGCCGUGAAGCAUGAAUCCGCUUCUAACCGUCCUUUGGACAACUUUUGACAUUUUGACCUCAAAUCAGGUAGGACUACCCGCUGAACUUAA
rnacentral:misc_RNA from 1 species